GCGAUGAUGCGUAGCCGGACUGAGAGGUUGAACGGCCACAUUGGGACUGAGACACGGCCCAGACUCCUACGGGAGGCAGCAGUAGGGAAUUUUCGGCAAUGGGCGCAAGCCUGACCGAGCAAUGCCGCGUGAGUGAUGACGGUUUUCGGACUGUAAAACUCUGUUGUAAGGGAAGAACGAUCGGAAUAGAAUUUCGAAGUGACGGUACCUUACCAGAAAGCCACGGCUAACUACGUGCCAGCAGCCGCGGUAAUACGUAGGUGGCGAGCGUUAUCCGGAUUUAUUGGGCGUAAAGGGUGCGCAGGCGGCCUGUUAAGUUUAAGGUGAAAGCGUGGGGCUCAACCCCAUAUAGCCUUAGAUACUGGCAGGCUAGAGUACUGGAGAGGAAAGUGGAAUUCCAUGUGUAGCGGUAAAAUGCGUAGAUAUAUGGAGGAACACCGGUGGCGAAGGCGACUUUCUAGACAGUAACUGACGCUCAUGCACGAAAGCGUGGGGAGCAAAUAGGAUUAGAUACCCUAGUAGUCCACGCUGUAAACGAUGAAUGCUAAGUGUUGGGGUAACUCAGUGCUGCAGUUAACGCAAUAAGCAUUCCGCCUGUGGAGUAUGCACGCAAGUGUGAAACAUAAAGGAAUUGACGGGGGCCCGCACAAGCGGUGGAGUAUGUGGUUUAAUUCGACGCAACGCGAAGAACCUUACCAGGCCUUGACAUCCCUUGCAAAACUAUAGAGAUAUAGCGGAGGUUAUCAAGGACACAGGUGGUGCAUGGUUGUCGUCAGCUCGUGUCGUGAGAUGUUGGGUUAAGUCCCGCAACGAGCGCAACCCUUGUCUUCAGUUACCAUCAUUUAGUUGGGGACUCUGAAGAGACUGCCGGUGAUAAACCGGAGGAAGGUGGGGAUGACGUCAAAUCAUCAUGCCCCUUAUGGCCUGGGCUACACACGUACUACAAUGGCGUAUACAACGAGUCGCAACCUGGCGACAGGAAGCAAAUCUCUUAAAGUACGUCUCAGUUCGGAUUGGAGUCUGCAACUCGACUCCAUGAAGUUGGAAUCGCUAGUAAUCGCGGAUCAGCAUGCCGCGGUGAAUACGUUCUCGGGCCUUGUACACACCGCCCGUCAUACCAUGAGAGCUGGUAAUACCCGAAGCCGGUGGCCUAACCGCAAGGAA
rnacentral:rRNA from 1 species